AUGUACAUGCUAUGUCUUUGUGUUUUAAGUCAAGAGAAAAGACAUUUCUGAUGUGCUAAAAAAACCUGUGGAGUUAAAUUAGCAGCAUGACUAGUUUAACCAUUACUUUAAGUCACCUUCCAACAAGU
rnacentral:snoRNA from 1 species